UAAAUUCAACACUUAACAAAACAAUUGUAUUCAUAAUUAUGCUCAAAAGAUUUGUUCAACCUUGUAUUUUGUUGCCGGUUCUACAGCCGAUUAUUUUAAUAUUCCUAUCUAAUUGUAUAUCAUAUAUCCUUACACGCACUUGUAUAUAUAGAAACAUACA